AUCUACAUAUACCUGAAAAACUCACUUACACGCACACAUUUAUUGUUCUUGCCUUGACAUUUUCUUCGAUACUAAGUCAAGAGGAUUUGGUUUUAGUAUUAUUUUACUUUUCAUAAGUAGUGGAGCGGUCAAUGGCUGCUUCCUCGUCUCGAGGACGAAGUAGCUCGCCGUUUCACUAUCGUAAGCCAUCGACUCCAUUUUCAUCUUCAUCGUCUUCAAAUUCCUUCAUGAAUGGUCGGCUCAUGCCUCGAUCGAGCUCCUCUUCAACGACGUCCUUCUUUCGCUCCGGCUCCAGAUCCAUGACCCCGAGUUGCAACCGAACCGAUUUGGCUAAUUCGCGAGGUUACGGGAACCGUUCGCCGGGCUCCGGCUCCAGAUCCAUGACCCCGAGUCGCAACCGAACCGAUUUGGCUAAUUCGCGAGGUUACGGGAACCGUUCGCCGGUUAAUUAUCCGUCGGUUGAGGAUUUAAUUGGUGAACCGGUGGAUAUGUCCAGAUCAG
rnacentral:lncRNA from 1 species